rnacentral:rRNA from 1 species
GACGAACGCUGGCGGCGUGCUUAACACAUGCAAGUCGAACGGAAAGGCCCUGCUUUUGUGGGGUGCUCGAGUGGCGAACGGGUGAGUAACACGUGAGUAACCUGCCCUUGACUUUGGGAUAACUUCAGGAAACUGGGGCUAAUACCGGAUAGGAGCUCCUGCUGCAUGGUGGGGGUUGGAAAGUUUCGGCGGUUGGGGAUGGACUCGCGGCUUAUCAGCUUGUUGGUGGGGUAGUGGCUUACCAAGGCUUUGACGGGUAGCCGGCCUGAGAGGGUGACCGGCCACAUUGGGACUGAGAUACGGCCCAGACUCCUACGGGAGGCAGAAGUGGGGAAUAUUGCACAAUGGGCGGAAGCCUGAUGCAGCAACGCCGCGUGCGGGAUGACGGCCUUCGUGUUGUAAACCGCUUUCGCCUGUGACGAAGCGUGAGUGACGGUAAUGGGUAAAGAAGCACCGGCUAACUACGUG